AUUGAACGCUGGCGGCCGGCCUAACACAUGCAAGUCGAACGAGUGGCGGACGGGUGAGUAAUGUCUGGGAAACUGCCUGAUGGAGGGGGAUAACUACUGGAAACGGUAGCUAAUACCGCAUACCAUCAGAUGUGCCCAGAUGGGCUUAGCUUGUUGGGGGGGUAACGGCUCACCAAGGCGACGAUCCCUAGCUGGUCUGAGAGGAUGACCAGCCAAACGGGAAGUGAGACACGGUCCAGAAUCCUACGGGAGGCAGCAGUGGGGAAUAUUGCAGAAUGGGCGCAAGCCUGAUGCAGCCAUGCCGCGUGUAUGAAGAAGGCAUUCGGGUUGUAAAGUACUUUCAGCGGGGAGGCGUUACCGGCAGAAGAAGCACCGGCUAACUUCGUGCCAGCAGCCGCGGUAAUUC
rnacentral:rRNA from 1 species